CAAAAUAUGAUUCAAGGAUUUGGUGUGUGAUGCCAGAAACUCCCUAGGGUAAUUCUAACUAGUAGGUCCUCAAAUUAAAUUUCAGUCAAGUCCAUUUGCCAGAAUUAAUCACAUGGUCCUGCCUAACUGCAAGAAGGGCAGGGUACGCAGGAAGAAGAAAGGAACCAGAUUUGAUCUCAUGUGUUUUGGAUGAAGUUACUUCUAAGUA